rnacentral:rRNA from 1 species
AGAUAUGAUCCAGAGUACCACGGGACACGUGAAACCCUGUGGGAAGCAGGAGGGACCACCCUCCAAGGCUAAAUACUACCUAGUGACCGAUAGCGUAUAGUACCGUGAGGGAAAGGUGAAAAGAACCCCGGGAGGGGAGUGAAAUAGAACCUGAAACCCUGCACUUACAAGCUGUGGAAGCACAUUUCUUGUGUGACCGCGUACUUUUUGUAGAACGGGCCAACGAGUUACGUUAAGUAGCAAGGUUAAGCACUUAAGGUGCGGAGCCGUAGCGAAAGCGAGUUUUAACUGAGCGUUCAGUUACUUGACGUAGACCCGAAACCGGGCGACCUACCCAUGAGCAGGAUGAAGCGAAAGUAAAAUUUCGUGGAGGUCCGAACCCACGAGCGUUGAAAAGCUCGGGGAUGACUUGUGGGUAGCGGUGAAAUUCCAAUCGAGCCCGGAGAUAGCUGGUUCUCCCCGAAAUAGCUUUAGGGCUAGCCUCAAGGUGAGAGAUACGGAGGUAGAGCACUGAAUGUCCUAGGGGGUAUUGCACCUACCGAAGACUAUCAAACUCCGAAUGCCGUCAUCUUAUACUUGGGAGUCAGACUGUGGGUGAUAAGAUUCAUAGUCGAAAGGGCAACAGCCCAGAUCGUCAGCUAAGGUCCCUAAAUGUAAGUUAAGUGGUAAAGGAUGUGGGAUUGCACAGACAACCAGGAUGUUGGCUUAGAAGCAGCCACUCAUUCAAAGAGUGCGUAAUAGCUCACUGGUCGAGUGAUCCUGCGCCGAAGAUUUCCGGGGCUAAAACUUACUACCGAAGCUACGGCAUCAGUAAUGAUGGGUAGGGGAGCUUCCCAUACGGGUUGAAGCAUGACCGUAAGGACAUGUGGACAGUAUGGGAGUGAGAAUGUUGGCAUGAGUAGCGAGAUGUGGGUGAGAAUCCCACAGGCCGUAAACCCAAGGUUUCCAGGGGAAGGUUCGUCCGCCCUGGGUUAGUCGGGACCUAAGCUGAGGCCGAAAGGCGUAGGUGAUGGACAACAGGUUGAUAUUCCUGUACUACCGAUAACCGUUUGAGAGAAGGGAUGACACAGUAGGAUAAGCUAAGCACACUGUUGGUUAUGUGUGCCCAAGCAUUGAGGCAGUCAAAGUAGGCAAAUCCGCUUUGAUAAUGCUGGGAUGUGAUGGGGAGCGAAAUUUAGUAGCGAAGUAGCUGAUUUCACACUGUCAAGAAAAGUCUCUAUCGAGGUUAAAGGUACCCGUACCGCAAACCGACACAGGUGGGUGAGGAGAGUAUCCUAAGGCCAGCGAGAGAACUGUUGUUAAGGAACUCGGCAAAAUGACCCCGUAACUUAGGGAUAAGGGGUGCCACCAUCAGGUGGCCGCAGAGAAUAGGCCCAAGCGACUGUUUACCAAAAACAUAGGUUUCUGCUAAGUCGCAAGACGAUGUAUAGGAGCUGACGCCUGCCCGGUGCUGGAAGGUUAAGGGGAUCUGUUAGAGCAAUCGAAGCAGUGAACUUAAGCCCCAGUAAACGGCGGCCGUAACUAUAACGGUCCUAAGGUAGCGAAAUUCCUUGUCGGGUAAGUUCCGACCCGCACGAAAGGCGUAACGAUUUGGGCACUGUCUCAACAACAGACUCGGUGAAAUUGUAAUUCCGGUGAAGAUGCCGGAUACCUGCGACAGGACGGAAAGACCCCAUGGAGCUUUACUGUAGCUUGACAUUGGGUCUUGGUACUACAUGUACAGGAUAGGUGGGAGGCUUUGAAACCAGGACGCCAGUUUUGGCGGAGCCAUCCUUGGGAUACCACCCUUGUAGUACUGGGACUCUAACCAUAGGCCAUGAAUCUGGUCUUGGGACACUGUCAGGUGGGCAGUUUGACUGGGGCGGUCGCCUCCCAAAAGGUAACGGAGGCGCUCAAAGGUUCUCUCAGUACGGUCGGAAAUCGUACGUAGAGUGUAAAGGCAAAAGAGAGCUUGAUUGCAAGACAUACAGGUCGAGCAAGGAUGAAAAUCGGACUUAGUGAUCCGGUGGUUCUGCGUGGAAGGGCCAUCGCUCAACGGAUAAAAGCUACCCUGGGGAUAACAGGCUUAUCUCCCCCAAGAGUCCACAUCGACGGGGAGGUUUGGCACCUCGAUGUCGGCUCAUCACAUCCUGGGGCUGUAGUAGGUCCCAAGGGUUGGGCUGUUCGCCCAUUAAAGUGGUACGCGAGCUGGGUUCAGAACGUCGUGAGACAGUUCGGUCCCUAUCCGUCGCAGGCGUAGGAAAUUUGAGAAGACCUGUCCUUAGUACGAGAGGACCGGGAUGGACGUACCUCUGGUGUACCAGUUGUCCUGCCAAGGGCAUGGCUGGGUAGCUAUGUACGGAAUGGAUAAGCGCUGAAAGCAUCUAAGCGCGAAGCCAACUUCAAGAUAAGAUUUCCCACCGCAAGGGUAAGACCCCAGAAAGACUAUCUGGUUGAUAGGUCGAAGGUGUAAGUGCAGCAAUGUAUUUAGCUUA